rnacentral:lncRNA from 1 species
UUGAAGUCAGGCCACUUGUGCCACGGCUUGAGCAAACCGUGCUGCCUGUAGCUCCGCCCAAAACGGGAGGCGUAAAAAUCCCCAGGGAGGCCAUGCGCCACGGAAGCUGUACGCGUGGCAUAUUGGACUAGCGGUUAGAGGAGACCCCUCCCAUCACCAACAAAACGCAGCAAAAGGGGGCCCGAAGCCAGGAGGAAGCUGUACUCCUGGUGGAAGGACUAGAGGUUAGAGGAGACCCCCCCAACACAAAAACAGCAUAUUGACGCUGGGAAAGAC